AUAAACAGAUCACGCUUAAACUGAUCUGGGGAAAAAACACCAGCCAAAAAUGAACGCGUACAACAAACGCGAAUGUUCAAAACCAACCUAGUUUACAAUGUCAGAAGACAUAAAGAAGUUCAGUCCAUUUGACAAAGGCAUCAAAUUGGUGUCAAAACCAAGCGAUCUCGAUGAAUUUGAUGAUGACCCCAGUGUUUUAAGAGCUCAGCUGUCCUGUGGUCAUGUCAUUGAUCCAGAGACACUGACCGAUUGUUGUAGAGCUCAACUGGAAGAUGGACAGACUGAAUUCAGAUGUCCCCUGUGUAUGAAAGAAUGGCCAUAUAAUGAAGUGCGCAAAUUGGCAAAACUUACAAUUGAUGAGCAGUCUAGUUUUGAGGAGAGGCUGGGGACAAACACUGUUAAGAAGUUAUUAGAUUUAAGGGAUUGUCCUGGUUGCGGCACUUUAAUAGAAAGAUCGGAUGUUUCCAAUCUCUGCGUGGAGUGCUCAGUUUGCACGAUGAAAACUGGACAAAUCUUUGAAUUCUGCUGGCAGUGUGAGAGAGAGUGGAAGGGGCCUAGACCUCGUCUUGAUCAUUGCAGUAAUGUGGGAUGUAGACGCGCUGACCAGGAGCUGCUGAGGGGUUGUGAUAUGAUCACUUUCACAUCAGUUGUGUAUAAGGGGUCAAGUGUUCAUGUCCAGUGUCCAGCAAUCCGUGCCUGUCCAUUUUGUGGCGUGUUGAUAGAACACAAUAAGGGAUGUAAAAUAAUGACAUGUCUUAAUUGUAAGAAGCCGUUUUGCUUUGCUUGUUUAAAAUCCGCCCACGACUGCUUAAAAACUUCUACUCAUUUCAUUUCAUGCUCAGCUAGUGUCGCACCUAGACAAACUGAUUAAGCAGAUGAUAAAGCAGAAGCGGCUUUAAAGGGUGAGGAGUUAAGAAGAGGAAGAGUUUAUAAAGCUUAUUGAUUAUAUUUCCUUUUCUGUGUAUUCAAGAUUUUAAAGUGUAGGUACACAGCAUUGUUAUUGCUGGUCUGUCUAAUUUCUAGUGAUUCCUUCACGAUUAUGUCCAUUAUCAUUAAUUUUGUAAGAUCCUCAUAAAGAUACUCAUUAUGUCAUUUUUGGACCACCACCACAUUACACCUGAACUUUAUCUAAGUAUUACCAUGUUUUCAAUCUGAUUUUAAUAUUAUCCAGUAAUUAAUGUCCAUGCAUGCAUACUUUAUAAUUAUUUUAAAUAAAAUGCAUUUACUUUAAUCCUUUGGUAUAUAUAAAAAAAAAAAUAUAUAUACUAUAUAUAUAUGUAGUCCACACAGAUGGUACAGGUAAAAGUGUGACUUUUGCAGAUAAUGGUAAAACGUUGAAAUUCUUCAUUAAGGAUAGAUGUUCUCAAAUAUGAAUAAAGAUUCAAGAAACACAAACAUUUGGGUGACGUCAUCCACGAUGAGAGCUGUCAUAUGUUGACAUGGAAAAAUUCGUUUUAAAAGGUGUGUAUUCGCUUAAGUGUGAUGUCCGCGAGCGCUGCCAUGCUGCUAUUGUCCAAUAUUGUGUUUUCAGCGGGACCAUGUAUUUUUAUCAGCAUGGAAGUCUUUCUUUUAACGAAGAAAGUUGACGCCCUUGCAUAUUUGCAAAGUGAAAGAGAAAGAAACGUAUAGGCUAUGAUAUAUUUCCUUGUUAUAGCUUUGCAGUCAGACAAUACUUGACCAGAGCCAGAAUGGCGUUUCAGGUCCGCAUUAGGACUAAUAAAAAUGCGAUUAAAAUAUUGUCCGUGGCAACAUCAAGUGACGAAUUUGAGAAGUUCACUGUUGGAAUGCUAAAGGAAAAAGCUUUAAGUUUGUUUCCUGGAGUAGACGGCCCAGAAGCCCUAAGGGUGAUUUUUGGUCAAAAUGAGCCUGAAGAUGAUGAAACAUUUGAGUCUUGCAACAUUGAACAUCUGUCUCUUCUUGUCGUCGUGCUCAUAAUGCCUGGUGGAGUAGUUCUUCCUCUUCAUGCAGAGUCAUGCAGCAACACUUUUGACACUACAAAUAGUGUCAGAUUGAUGUCUGGUCUCUCUCAUUGAAUUGUCCAUUCAAACAUCAAAAAUCUGUCCCAAAUCAUGUCACAAAUAUAAUUUGUUUGAUUAUAGUGUGCAUUUAGAAUUUUUUAAAAACAGAAACUUGGAUGUAUUAGACUUAUAUAUUUCUGUUAUGUAAAUGCAUAAUAUGUUAAAAUUCAACUCUCUCUGUAUAAUACUGUGUAUUCAAUAUGUGUAUAAAACCUGUGACUAACUUUCA